rnacentral:rRNA from 1 species
GUCGAGAAGCUUCGGCAAUGGGCGAAAGCCUGACCGAGCGACGCCGCGUGAGCGAAGAAGGCCCUAUGGGUUGUAAAGCUCUGUCAGAUUGGGAAGAAAACCCCGCGGUUAAUACCUGCGGGGCUUGACGGUACCAUCAGAGGAAGCACCGGCUAACCCCGUGCCAGCAGCCGCGGUAAUACGGGGGGUGCGAGCGUUGUUCGGAUUCACUGGGUAUAAAGGGUGCGCAGGCGGACUGGUAAGUCAGAGGUGAAAUUUGUCGGCUCAACCGACAGACUGCCCCUGAAACUGCCAGUCUUGAGUCCGGGAGAGGUAGGUGGAAUUCCAGGUGUAGCGGUGAAAUGCGUAAAUAUCUGGAGGAACACCGGUGGCGAAGGCGGCCUACUGGCCCGGAACUGACGCUCAGGCACGAAAGCUAGGGGAGCGAACGGGAUUAGAUACCCGGGUAGUCC